GUGCCAGCCGCCGCGGUAAUACGGAGGGGGCAAGCGUUGUUCGGAUUUACUGGGCGUAAAGGGUGUGUAGGCGGCUGCGCAAGUCUGGUGUGAAAUCUUCACCGCUUAACGGGAAGAGGGCACUGGAAACUGCGUAGCUCGAGUAUGGUAGAGGCAAGCGGAAUUCCUGGUGUAGCGGUGGAAUGUGUAGAUGUCAGGAAGAACACCGGUGGCGAAGGCGGCUUGCUGGGCCAUUACUGACGCUGAGACACGAAAGCGUGGGGAGCAAACGGGAUUAGAAACCCGAGUAGUCC
rnacentral:rRNA from 1 species